rnacentral:rRNA from 1 species
CAGUCGCCGCGGUAAUACGGAGGGUGCAAGCGUUAUCCGGAUUUAUUGGGUUUAAAGGGUCCGUAGGCGGACUUAUAAGUCAGUGGUGAAAGCCUGUCGCUUAACGAUAGAACUGCCAUUGAUACUGUAAGUCUUGAGUAUAUUUGAGGUAGCUGGAAUAAGUAGUGUAGCGGUGAAAUGCAUAGAUAUUACUUAGAACACCAAUUGCGAAGGCAGGUUACCAAGAUAUAACUGACGCUGAGGGACGAAAGCGUGGGUAGCGAACAGGAUUAGAGACCCCUGUAGUCCCUGUCUCUUAUAC